GGCUUGUUGGCUCAGUUGGAUAGAGCGCCGUAUUAACAGUACGGAGGUCGUGAGUUCAAUUCUCAUCCAAGCCA
rnacentral:tRNA from 1 species